rnacentral:rRNA from 1 species
CACGUAGGGUGCGAGCGUUGUCCGGAAUUAUUGGGCGUAAAGAGCUCGUAGGCGGUGUGUCGCGUCGGCCGUGAAAACCUACAGCUUAACUGUGGGCUUGCGGUCGAUACGGGCAUCACUGGAGUUCGGCAGGGGAGACUGGAAUUCCUGGUGUAGCGGUGAAAUGCGUAGAUAUCUGGAGGAACACCGGUGGCGAAGGCGACAUCCUGGACCGGUAUUGACGCUGAGGCGCGAAAGCCAGGGGAGCAAACGGG